rnacentral:rRNA from 1 species
GACGAACGCUGGCGGCGUGCUUAACACAUGCAAGUCGAACGGUGAAGCUCCAGCUUGCUGGAGUGGAUCAGUGGCGAACGGGUGAGUAACACGUGAGCAACCUGCCCCUGACUCUGGAAUAAGCGCUGGAAACGGCGUCUAAUACUGGAUACGAGAAGGGUCCGCAUGGGCACUUUCUGGAAAGUUUUUCGGUUGGGGAUGGGCUCGCGGCCUAUCAGCUUGUUGGUGAGGUAAUGGCUUACCAAGGCGACGACGGGUAGCCGGCCUGAGAGGGCGACCGGCCACACUGGGACUGAGACACGGCCCAGACUCCUACGGGAGGCAGCAGUGGGGAAUAUUGCACAAUGGGCGAAAGCCUGAUGCAGCGACGCCGCGUGAGGGAUGACGGCCUUCGGGUUGUAAACCUCUUUCAGCAGGGAAGAAGCGAAAGUGACGGUACCUGCAGAAGAAGCACCGGCUAACUACGUG